rnacentral:rRNA from 1 species
ACUCCUACGGGAGGCAGCAGUGGGGAAUAUUGCACAAUGGGCGAAAGCCUGAUGCAGCAACGCCGCGUGAGGGAUGACGGCCUUCGGGUUGUAAACCUCUUUUAGCAGGGAAGAAGCGAAAGUGACGGUACCUGCAGAAAAAGCGCCGGCUAACUACGUGCCAGCAGCCGCGGUAAUACGUAGGGCGCAAGCGUUAUCCGGAAUUAUUGGGCGUAAAGAGCUCGUAGGCGGUUUGUCGCGUCUGCUGUGAAAUCCCGAGGCUCAACCUCGGGCCUGCAGUGGGUACGGGCAGACUAGAGUGCGGUAGGGGAGAUUGGAAUUCCUGGUGUAGCGGUGGAAUGCGCAGAUAUCAGGAGGAACACCGAUGGCGAAGGCAGAUCUCUGGGCCGUAACUGACGCUGAGGAGCGAAAGGGUGGGGAGCAAACAGGCUUAGAUACCCUGGUAGCGUCG